rnacentral:misc_RNA from 1 species
CCAAUAGCGUAUAUUAAAGUUGCUGCAGUUAAAAAGCUCGUAGUUGAAUUUCGGGAUCAAUAUGUUGGUCGUGCCUCGGUACGUACUAGCUUAUUGGUUUCUUCCUUCUGACGAACCAUAAUGUCAUUUAUUUGGUGUUAUGGGGAAUCAGGACUGUUACUUUGAAAAAAUUAGAGUGUUUAAAGCAGGCUCACGCUUGAAUACAUUAGCAUGGAAUAAUGAAAUAGGACGUUUGAUUCUAUUUUGUUGGUUUCUAGGAUCGACGUAAUGAUUAAUAGGGAUAGUUGGGGGCAUUAGUAUUCAAUUGUCAGAGGUGAAAUUCUUGGAUUUAUUGAAGACUAACUACUGCGAAAGCAUUUGCCAAGGAUGUUUUCAUUAAUCAAGAACGAAAGUUAGGGGAUCGAAGACGAUCAGAUACCGUCGUAGUCUUAACCAUAAACUAUGCCGACUAGGGAUCGGAUGAUGUUAAUUUUUUAAUGACUCAUUCGGCGCCUUACG